UGACAGGAUCUCCUUCUUUUUCACUGCUGA
rnacentral:piRNA from 1 species